GUGUCAGCAGCCGCGGUAAGACGAAGGAUGCAAGCGUUAUCCGGAUUCAUUGGGUUUAAAGGGAGCGUAGGUGGCCUUAUAAGUCAGUGGUGAAAUCUUCGAGCUUAACUCGGAAAUUGCCAUUGAUACUGUAGGGCUUGAGUAUAGUUGCCGUUGGCGGAAUAUGACAUGUAGUGGUGAAAUACAUAGAGAUGUCAUAGAACACCGAUUGCGAAGGCAGCUAACGAAACUAUAACUGACACUGAGGCUCGAAAGUGCGGGGAUCAAACAGGAUUAGAAACCCUCGUAGUCC
rnacentral:rRNA from 1 species